rnacentral:rRNA from 1 species
UACGAAGGGUGCAAGCGUUACUCGGAAUUACUGGGCGUAGAGCGUGCGUAGGUGGUUUGUUAAGUCUGUUGUGAAAGCCCCGGGCUCAACCUGGGAAUGGCAAUGGAUACUGGCAGGCUAGAGUGCGGUAGAGGGUAGUGGAAUUCCCGGUGUAGCGGUGAAAUGCGUAGAGAUCGGGAGGAACACCAGUGGCGAAGGCGGCUACCUGGACCAGCACUGACACUGAGGCACGAAAGCGUGGGGAGCAAACAGGG